rnacentral:rRNA from 1 species
UGCCGCGUGCAGGAUGAAGGCCUUCGGGUUGUAAACUGCUUUUGUACGGAACGAAACGGUGAGCUCUAAUACAGCUUGCUAAUGACGGUACCGUAAGAAUAAGCACCGGCUAACUACGUGCCAGCAGCCGCGGUAAUACGUAGGGUGCGAGCGUUAAUCGGAAUUACUGGGCGUAAAGCGUGCGCAGGCGGUGAUGUAAGACAGAUGUGAAAUCCCCGGGCUCAACCUGGGACCUGCAUUUGUGACUGCAUCGCUUGAGUACGGUAGAGGGGGAUGGAAUUCCGCGUGUAGCAGUGAAAUGCGUAAAUAUGCGGAGGAACACCGAUGGCGAAGGCAAUCCCCUGGACCUGUACUGACGCUCAUGCACGAAAGCGUGGGGAGCAAACAGGAUUAAAUACCCUGGUAGUCCACGCCCUAAACGAUGUCAACUGGUUGUUGGGUCUUCACUGACUCAGUAACNAAGCUAACG